CCAUCAAAGCUUCAAGGAAGUCAACAACAGGAGGUCAAAAUUUUGGGAUUCAAGACAUGGAUGUUGAUAAAGAAACAGAAGCUGGAACCCCACCAAGAGUUAACUAUACUUCUCAACUUAGCAAGCUGAAGAGAACUUUUGACCACAAAAA
rnacentral:sRNA from 1 species